UCCUAAGGAGCAAAGGCCAGCAAAUGCCAAUAACAUAAUGAGAUUCUGAUAGCAGACAAGUAUCCUCACUCUCCACUAGCAGGCUGCCAGUAUAGCGUUUAGGAGCAAGGUGGUUACAAAAUCCUCCAAAUGGUGCAGUUUGCUCAAUUGCCUUUUAGCCCUAAGGUUAGUGCUUGUCUCCUUCUUGUCUGCUAGUAAUUCUUCCUUGCUCUGCUGCUUCAUAACAGCUUCCUUUCUCUUCUGGAAUCGAAAGCUUCAUGCCCUUGACCUGUUGGACCUACUUUGUUCGAAAUAGCUGCCAUUACAUGUCUUUGCCCAACAUGUGAAAGGUAUGCCUUAGGUCUAAUAAAUGACGAAAAGUAGCUGAAAGACCUCCCCAUUAAUUUCAAGUUUGUUGGAGUUGGUACAAAAGUUUCGGAAGAUGAGCACAUAGCCUUGAUGUAUUGGUUAUCUUCUUUAUGUCUAUUGUACUCGAUAACUCCAAGUAAUAUAAAAUGUUUUCAAUCUGGCUCAAAC
rnacentral:lncRNA from 1 species